rnacentral:rRNA from 1 species
AGUGAACGCUGGCGGCAGGCCUAACACAUGCAAGUCGAACGGCAGCACAGUAAGAGCUUGCUCUUACGGGUGGCGAGUGGCGGACGGGUGAGGACUACAUAUGAAUCUACUUUUUCGUUGGGGCGAACGUAGGGAGACUUAUGCUAAUAACGCAUAAGACAUGAGAGUGAAAGCAGGGGAUCCUCCGACCUUUCGCGAUUGAAUGAGCCGAUGUCGGAUGAGCGAGUUGGCGGGGUAAAGGCACACCAAGGCGACGAUCCGUAGCUGGUCUGAGAGGAUGAUCAGCCACACUGGAACUGAGACACGGUCCAGACUCCUACGGGAGGCAGCAGUGGGGAAUAUUGGACAAUGGGCGCAAGCCUGAUCCAGCCAUGCCGCGUGGGUGAAGAAGGCCUUCGGGUUGUAAAGCACUUUUGUUGGGAAAGAAAAGCAGCAGGUUAAUACCCCGCUGUUAUGACGGUACCCAAAGAAUAAGCACCGGCUAACUUCGUG